UGCAUUCCUCAGGUAGAAAAACUGAUCCCCUA
rnacentral:piRNA from 1 species